rnacentral:lncRNA from 1 species
GCAUUCACAAAUCACGUCACUUACUAAUGUGACUAGAGAAAAUCAAAUUUAUCUUUCAGAAAACUAACCGAAAGCAUGUGUCAAUAAAAAUAGACUUUUGUUAUUGGAUUCUGACCUUUUUGCUGCAUACAAUGAGAUCGAGUUUAAGCUCCGAAAAUGGAGAUCAACAAAAAUGUUUCAACCGCAGGGGCGGAUUUACAUGGUCUUCAGCGGUGUCACGACACCACUUCAACGAAAUUUUUUAUUAUUACAUAUAUAUAUAUAUAAUAAAUAAAACAAAAAUAUAAAAUAAAACUAAUAAAAGUGACAUCACUUACAAUAAAAUAGUUCAAUAGUCUACUGGUUGAUGGCUUACUCGUUGAGGUAAGAGGUUUCGGGUUCAAACUCCCUUAACAACACAAAAUAUUUUUUGACUCUUACGACCUCUUACUAAAAAUAGUGAUACCGCUUAUGAAAAUUACCGACCGGAGCUCAAAGCUCGACCGAAAUCUCGGACCUCAAGCGACUCGAACGACGACCUUUGUUAAAAAAAUAACUCAACUGCGGGGUUGCUUCGGAGCAAUUUUUUUCCGCUUUCUCUGCUCAUUUUUACUAGUUAAAACUUGGAGUUCAUGGGAUGAAAAUGAAGCAUAAAUUGCAGCUCUUUUGGUGAUAAUAGAAGCUGAUUUUCAGACUGCUUUAAUGGAGGUUUUGUUACGUUUUUUGAGUGGUUAUUGGGCUUGAGCAAAAGGGUCUGUUUUCAGGUGAUUUUGGUGAAGGAGUGCAGCUGAUUUGGUGGAGGAAACUGAAGCUUUACAUGGCUAAAGUUUCGGCUGGUUUUUGAAUGUGCUGAAGAUGGAGAAAAGGGGUCUCGGCUGUGCGUUACUGUUCUUAGUGUUGCGGCCGAUGUAUAUUU